GUGAACGCUGGCGGUAGGCCUAACCCAUGCAAGUCGAACGGCAGCACAGUAAGAGCUUGCUCUUACGGGUGGCGAGUGGCGGACGGGUGAGGAAUACAUCGGAAUCUACUUUUUCGUGGGGGAUAACGUAGGGAAACUUACGCUAAUACCGCAUACGACCUACGGGUGAAAGCAGGGGAUCUUCGGACCUUGCGCGAUUGAAUGAGCCGAUGUCGGAUUAGCUAGUUGGCGGGGUAAAGGCCCACCAAGGCGACGAUCCGUAGCUGGUCUGAGAGGAUGAUCAGCCACACUGGAACUGAGACACGGUCCAGACUCCUACGGGAGGCAGCAGUGGGGAAUAUUGGACAAUGGGCUCAAGCCUGAUCCAGCCAUACCGCGUGGGUGAAGAAGGCCUUCGGGUUGUAAAGCCCUUUUGUUGGGAAAGAAAAGCAGCAGGUUAAUACCCCGCUGUUCUGACGGUACCCAAAGAAUAAGCACCGGCUAACUUCGUG
rnacentral:rRNA from 1 species